rnacentral:rRNA from 1 species
UACGGGGGGAGCAAGGCGUUGUUCGGAUUUACUGGGCGUAAAGGGCGCGUAGGCGGUCAGCACAAGUCAGUUGUGAAAUCUCCGGGCUUAACUCGGAAAGGUCAACUGAUACUGUGCGACUAGAGUGCAGAAGGGGCAACUGGAAUUCUCGGUGUAGCGGUGAAAUGCGUAGAUAUCAGGAGGAACACCUGCGGUGUAGACGGCUUACUGGACGGUAACUGACGCUGAGGCACGAAAGCGUGGGUAGCAAACAGG